UGGCGAACGGGUGAGUAAUAUAUCGGAACGUACCCAAGAGUGGGGGAUAACGUAGCGAAAGUUACGCUAAUACCGCAUACGAUCUAAGGAUGAAAGCAGGGGAUCUUCGGACCUUGUGCUCCUGGAGCGGCCGAUAUCUGAUUAGCUAGUUGGUGAGGUAAAGGCUCACCAAGGCCACGAUCAGUAGCUGGUCUGAGAGGACGACCAGCCACACUGGAACUGAGACACGGUCCAGACUCCUACGNNNGGCAGCAGUGGGGAAUUUNGGACAAUGGGCGAAAGCCUGAUCCAGCAAUGCCGCGUGAGUGAAGAAGGCCUUCGGGUUGUAAAGCUCUUUUGUCAGGGAAGAAACGGUUUGGGCUAAUAUCCUGAGCUAAUGACGGUANCUGAAGAAUAAGCACCGGCUAACUACGUGCCAGCAGCCGCGGUAAUACGUAGGGUGCAAGCGUUAAUCGGAAUUACUGGGCGUAAAGCGUGCGCAGGCGGUUUUGUAAGUCUGACGUGAAAUCCCCGGGCUCAACCUGGGAAUUGCGUUGGAGACUGCAAGGCUAGAAUCUGGCAGAGGGGNNUAGAAUUCCACGUGUAGCAGUGAAAUGCGUAGAGAUGUGGAGGAACACCGAUGGCGAAGGCAGCCCCCUGGGUCAAGAUUGACGCUCAUGCACGAAAGCGUGGGGAGCAAACAGGAUUAGAUACCCUGGUAGUCCACGCCCUAAACGAUGUCUACUAGUUGUCGGGUUUUAAUUAACUUGGUAACGCAGCUAACGCGUGAAGUAGACCGCCUGGGGAGUACGGUCGCAAGAUUAAAACUCAAAGGAAUUGACGGGGACCCGCACAAGCGGUGGAUGAUGUGGAUUAAUUCGAUGCAACGCGAAAAACCUUACCUACCCUUGACAU
rnacentral:sRNA from 1 species